CAUACGUGUAUUCUGGCCAUGGUAUUCAGCCCUCAUCAGCUGCAGUACUCAAGCAUCCUCGUUCCAAUGAGUCGUUGGCUCAGUACUGACUCCAUUGUACGUACAUCGGGCAGCAGCGCGAAACAUUGUGCUAGUCGGCGGCAGUUUCUUACCGGUAGUGUUUACUGCAAAUAUCACUGACAGUUCCUGACGAAACAUUAUAGCUCCGU
rnacentral:lncRNA from 1 species